rnacentral:rRNA from 1 species
UAUAGUUUCUUCGGAAACUAGAGAGCGGCGUACGGGUGCGUAACACGUGUGCAACCUACCUUUAUCAGGGGAAUAGCCUUUCGAAAGGAAGAUUAAUACUCCAUAAUAUAUUGAAUGGCAUCAUUUAAUAUUGAAAACUCCGGUGGAUAGAGAUGGGCACGCGCAAGAUUAGAUAGUUGGUGAGGUAACGGCUCACCAAGUCAAUGAUCUUUAGGGGUCCUGAGAGGGAGAUCCCCCACACUGGUACUGAGACACGGACCAGACUCCUACGGGAGGCAGCAGUGAGGAAUAUUGGACAAUGGGUGAGAGCCUGAUCCAGCCAUCCCGCGUGAAGGAUUAAGGUCCUAUGGAUUGUAAACUUCUUUUGUACAGGGAUAAACCUAGAUACGUGUAUCUAGCUGAAGGUACUGUACGAAUAAGCACCGGCUAACUCCGUGCCAGCAGCCGCGGUAAUACGGAGGGUGCAAGCGUUAUCCGGAUUUAUUGGGUUUAAAGGGUCCGCAGGCGGACCGAUAAGUCAGUGGUGAAAUCUCAUAGCUUAACUAUGAAACUGCCAUUGAUACUGUCGGUCUUGAGUAAAUUAGAGGUAGCUGGAAUAAGUAGUGUAGCGGUGAAAUGCAUAGAUAUUACUUAGAACACCAAUUGCGAAGGCAGGUUACCAUGAUUUAACUGACGCUGAGGGACGAAAGCGUGGGUAGCGAACAGGAUUAGAUACCCUGGUAGUCCACGCCGUAAACGAUGCUAACUCGUUUUUGGGGCGCAAGCCUCAGAGACCAAGCGAAAGUGAUAAGUUAGCCACCUGGGGA